rnacentral:rRNA from 1 species
CACGUAGGGCGCAAGCGUUGUCCGGAAUUAUUGGGCGUAAAGAGCUCGUAGGUGGUUUGUUACGUCUGCUGUGAAAACCUAGGGCUUAACCCUGGGCUUGCAGUGGAUACGGGCAGACUAGAGGUAGGUAGGGGAGAAUGGAAUUCCUGGUGUAGCGGUGAAAUGCGCAGAUAUCAGGAGGAACACCGGUGGCGAAGGCGGGUCUCUGGGCCGAAAUUGACGCUGAGGAGCGAAAGCGUGGGGAGCAAACAGG